UUGAAGUCGGUCUUCCCGCAGAAACGCUCCAAAUACACAGCAACAUUGGACACAUCUAAAAAUUCACACCAAAGAACAAGGAAACAUGCUGAGGAAGAGGGCUGUUGGGAAGAUUUGCACACUAUCAUUUUACCCAGUGACCACGAAUUGGAAUUUACCUUUGGAUUUCUGGUUCCAUUUCUACAGUGGAUCAGAUGAUAUCAUGCGUGUGUGGAAAUGUUGAGCCAGCUGAACAUCUUCAGUCACUUGUAACAUGAUCUUGGGGCAUGUUUCAGAAAAACAUCAGUCAUUAUGGAAAGCUGUUCCACCCUCCCACACCUCACUCUCAGGACAGAAAACAUAGGGAGAAUAGUUGGAAAUUCACUUGAGCUGGACCAACUGUGCAAUUUACAAAUAUUGUUGGUUUUCAAAUAGCUUUUACCUUUUCUCGAAAUUUCUACUCAGAAUUUUUUAAUAGUUUUGUUAAAUAUCUUUGGAGCUGAGGUCCUAAUUCUUUGGUGACAUCUUGCACUCGUGUUUUCUUCAUGACCAUUUGGAUGAACUACUCAAGAGAAUGAACCAUACCACUGUGCUGGCAGCUGGCAGUUGUAGCUCUUUUAUGUGAAGAGGUGGAAGCUUUUGAUAUUGAUGCCGAGUUGACUUACAAAGCAUCUAGUUUUAUGUAGUUCCAAAUGCUUCCAAAUGGCAAUCAGGUGGGACAAAUCCUGAUGGUCAGUUUUUUUUUUUU